AUUUGUCACUGUUAUGAACGAACGCAAAUUAACCGGAAGAAAGCAAAGAAACUCAAGAGCAAAAAAAAAAACGAAUUGAGUUUAACUACAAAAGAUCAACAAUCUCAUACUACAGAAGAUUUGUUUCACAAGCUUUUGUACUUUCAGUGGUAAAAGCCAUGACCCCCCUAAGACUUUUGCACUAAACUAUAAGAAGUUGGAGCUAGAAGAAUCUCUAGUACAGACUUGUAACAUCCUAAGCGUUAUGUAUGACUUCAAUAAUUGGUCAUCAUUGAAAUAAAGAACCUCAGAAUGCUGUCUUGUAAUCAUCUUUCCUACUCUUUUGUUUUCUUGCUGAGCAUUUUACUUGUGCUUUCUUAUUACUGCAGUGGAACCUAAAGUUACUACUUAUUUCCAGUGAUGAUUACAGUUUUGUGUAGGUAUAUUUAUCCUCAACCUCCAAUAGAAGAGAACAAAGUUCUUGAGGCUGGGAGGACAUUGCCAUAUGAUCUGCAUCUUUGACCUCCAUCACCUCUUUUACAGGAGAGUUUCUGUUCAUCCAGCGUUUAUAAUCCUCAGGUCCUCUUGUGGAAUGCUUCUGACCAGCUGCAGAUUUCAGACAUAUAUCAGAAUCACUUGGAAGAGAUCAGGCAGUACCUUUUGUAAAACAUAAGCAGGUGGGUUUAUUGUGUUGGGCAUGAAAGCUGUCAAGAAAACAAAAACAGCAACCUUAUGUGUAAAGAUGUCGGCAGGAAGCGCAGCGGAUACUCCUCCCAUGCUAUGAGCAACAAGAAUCACCUUUUCUGAGCCAAGCGAGCUCAGAAACUCAAGCAACGGGGUAACAUUGUGACCUGCAGCCUCUAGCUGUGUGUUUUACCUUGUACCAAAUCCAAGCGCCGUGGUAGAGCCCAUGGACAAGCACAAACCACUCCUGUUCUCCUUCUUUACUUCCAGCAUCUUGGUUCAACAAUUAUAUUGAUGGUUGGUUUCCAGGAUACUCUUUUGUAUAUUGACUGUUAGUUUCUGGUCAUUCUCUGAGAUCCAUAGAAUGCCAAACCAACACUACAUUGACUGUUAGUUUUUAUUUUAUUUCAACUACAAAAAGCAAUAAAAUCUGGUUGAAGUGAUUUUGCAUGAGACUUUCAAGUGAUGGCCACUUAGUAAUUGCGGCUUGCAGAACACUGGUAAACGAUCUAGCAGUAAGUUUGCUGGGUAUACUCACCGUUUGAUGUGAUUCUGAAACGGUUUUGUCCACUUUGUAUGUAUGUAUGUAUGCUUGUAGAAUGAAUGUAAGUAGAAUAGUAAACUAUAUUUGUUCACAAACGAUAAAAUGCCACAAUACUACAUAUA